UCUGGUUGAUCCCGCCGGACCCGACUGCUAUCAGAGUGGGACUAAGCCAUGCGAGUCAACGCCGCAAGGCGUGGCAUACGGCUCAGUAACACGUAGUCAACAUGCCCAGGGGACGUGGAUAACCUCGGGAAACUGAGGAUAAACCGCGAUAGGCCAAGAUUUCUGGAAUGGAUCAUGGCUGAAAUCUACAUGGCCCCUGGAUUGGACUGCGGCCGAUCAGGCUGUUGGUGAGGUAAUGGCCCACCAAACCUAUAACCGGUACGGGCUUUGAGAGAAGGAGCCCGGAGAUGGGCACUGAGACAAGGGCCCAGGCCCUAUGGGGCGCAGCAGGCGCGAAAACUCUGCAAUAGGCGAAAGCUUGACAGGGUUACUCUGAGUGACUUUCGUUAAGAAAGUCUUUUGGCACCUCUAAAAAUGGUGUAGAAUAAGGGGUGGGCAAGUCUGGUGUCAGCCGCCGCGGUAAUACCAGCACCCCGAGUGGUCGGGACGAUUAUUGGGCCUAAAGCAUCCGUAGCCGGCCUUACAAGUCCUCCGUUAAAUCCAGCUGCUUAACAGAUGGGCUGCGGAGGAUACUAUAAGACUAGGAGGCAGGAGAGGCAAGCGGUACUCAGUGGGUAGGGGUAAAAUCCGUUGAUCCAUUGAAGACCACCAGUGGCGAAGGCGGCUUGCCAGAAUGCGCUCGACGGUGAGGGAUGAAAGCUGGGGGAGCAAACCGGAUUAGAUACCCGGGUAGUCCCAGCUGUAAACGAUGCAGACUCGGUGAUGGACUAGCUAUAUGCUGGUCCAGUGCCGCAGGGAAGCCGUUAAGUCUGCCGCCUGGGGAGUACGGUCGCAAGACUGAAACUUAAGGGAAUUGGCGGGGGAGCACCACAAGGGGUGAAGCCUGCGGUUCAAAUGGAUUCAACGCC
rnacentral:rRNA from 1 species